GCGUGAUGUCCCUCCACCGCCGGGGCUCGGGUGGGCCGGGCGCUCCGAGCCCGCAUCGUCUCCCCGCUGUUAGGACGGUGUUGAGGACCCCCAUGCAGAAACCGCUCCCACCAGCCAAGGCGGGGAGAAAAGAUGGACGUGGGGGCUUAAAAACCAAUGCUGGAGCAGAGAGCCCCCCCCUGGGAAUGUGCAGCCAGCAGAGCCCCCCCGGGAAUGUGCAGCCAGCAAGCUGUUCAGAGUGACUGCACAGGACGGACACUUAACUGACAUUUGUCAAUUUGCUGUGUUGAAGAACAUUGCUGAACUAAUUUGAAAGGCAUUUUAAAAAGAAAUUGAGGGAAAAAACCCUUCAAGAUGCAGAAAAUGUGAAAUUUUCAAUUACUUGUUUGUGAGGUUGUUUCUGAGUCCAGUAAAGAGGCUCAGCUUCGA